GGAACGAAUUAAGUACGUAACUUUAGUUACCACGGUAGAUGCCUUUGGGAAGCCCACAAGCAGGACAUAAGGCAGCAGUGCUCUCUAAACACAACCCAACUCGUUGCAACUGGUAUUCCGUAGCAUACUGCCUAUGAACAUAGAAGAGUGAUAUGUUGGGCAGUGUGUGAAACUUGUAGAAACUCAAAUUGGCCAAACAGUUGCAAUUUCUGUAAUGAAAUCUGUACACACAUGCUCAUAGUAGUAGUAAUUAGAAAACACUACAGAGCUUUCAUUUUAUGGCCCAAAGGGACCUGGCAAUAUUAUGCAAGCUGGUCUUCUGAAAGUUGGGUCUUUCAAUACCUGGUAUUUGCUGGUUUUCUUUUUCCCAUUCCAAAUAGCAUUUUGCAUCAGCUCUGUGCACAAGCCAUAGCACAAUAACUGCUGACCAUAACUAGCUUCAGUAGCAGGCUCCUGCUUAGCAUAUCUUUUAUUCGGAUGCUUGGUCCACAGAAAAGUUGAGGAUUUAAGCCUCCCUUUUCUCUGCCUGCUUGUCCAUCCCUUAUUAAUUAACUCUUCAGUCUACAGUCUUUUCCCAGCAUGCUUGCCUUGCCUCUCCUUUAAGUCAGAGAGACAAAACCAGCUGCAGCCCCAAGGUGGUCUCCGACUGUUACAAUCUGUGCUCCUUUCUGGCAGUUAUUUAGUGCCCCUUUUGGGUUGUUCCCCCUCCCUGCUUUGCCUUUUCCUUUGUCUCGUUUUCUAUAAGGUUCCAUCUAGGUUUUCCCUAGAGUUCUCUUACCCCAUGUCAUUACUUAGCCUGUAAGAUCUGCAAGGAUCUCUGCUUGCAAGCCUCAGGAUCUGUGAUUGGGGCGGGGGUUGCAAAAAGAGAGAGGAGCUAAUCAAUUCAGAAAAUCAUUUGGGUGGCAACCUCACUUGACAGCCUAUUUUCUUCCUUUCCACUUAGAUAUCAAGCUGGCUGAGAAGGGCUCUGGGGAACAAGGGAGGCAGCAAGAGCUGCUUCUCUGUAGAUAUUUGCAAGACACCUCAACAGAAGUACAACCACUAGACCUGCUACUGAAAUCCACUGCAUCCUGGUUUGGGGGAGCAGUUAAGGAGGCUGCCUUUACAAAGAUAUAUAUUACAAUUUUACAGUGCCAACAGGCCCCCCAGUGGUUAGCAGAAAAUGCAAACAGAUAUGGAUUAGGUAGAGUACAGAAAAUACAUUUCAUCAAAUCCAAAUUGUUACUCAUGGAGAUCCAGAAUUUGAAGCUUACAAAAUACCAGAGAUGACCAGAAAGUGCUUUACUAACCACUGAGUGAAUUAGAAGGCCUAAUAAUGAACGGUUGUAUCACAAACUAUGUAAUAGACAAUACAGCUCAAUUUAAGGCAGCUGAA